UCCAUAAUAAAGAAUAAGAUGAGAGAUUUUUACUCAAAUUGAUGCCCGAAAUAUUAAACUUGUUGACUGUGCCUACUGGAGAUCCCCAGGUUCCUUAAAUUUUUCUUCAGGGAUUAAAACGCGCUACAGGUAUCUAAAAAUAUCUCAAAAAAUUCAAAAUCAGUGUCAGGACCCCAUUUUGGCCAAUUCGGGAUUCUGGCAUAACGGCUCCGCUGUGCUCCGGCGACGGCACCGCCGCCCACGGCGGCAGUUUGUCUCGAGUCAGCUAUUUUCAGCCGGUUUUGUAUCAAUCCCUACGAGAAAACACGUUAAGGGAUCUCGGUUGGUCGAAAAAACCAAAAAAAUCAAAACUCAC
rnacentral:lncRNA from 1 species